CAGAUUGAACGCUGGCGGCAGGCCUAACACAUGCAAGUCGAACGGUAACAGGAAGCAGCUUGCUGCUUUGCUGACGAGUGGCGGACGGGUGAGUAAUGUCUGGGAAACUGCCUGAUGGAGGGGGAUAACUACUGGAAACGGUAGCUAAUACCGCAUAACGUCGCAAGACCAAAGAGGGGGACCUUCGGGCCUCUUGCCAUCGGAUGUGCCCAGAUGGGAUUAGCUAGUAGGUGGGGUAACGGCUCACCUAGGCGACGAUCCCUAGCUGGUCUGAGAGGAUGACCAGCCACACUGGAACUGAGACACGGUCCAGACUCCUACGGGAGGCAGCAGUGGGGAAUAUUGCACAAUGGGCGCAAGCCUGAUGCAGCCAUGCCGCGUGUAUGAAGAAGGCCUUCGGGUUGUAAAGUACUUUCAGCGGGGAGGAAGGCGUUGUGGUUAAUAACCACAGCGAUUGACGUUACCCGCAGAAGAAGCACCGGCUAACUCCGUGCCAGCAGCCGCGGUAAUACGGAGGGUGCAAGCGUUAAUCGGAAUUACUGGGCGUAAAGCGCACGCAGGCGGUCUGUCAAGUCGGAUGUGAAAUCCCCGGGCUCAACCUGGGAACUGCAUUCGAAACUGGCAGGCUAGAGUCUUGUAGAGGGGGGUAGAAUUCCAGGUGUAGCGGUGAAAUGCGUAGAGAUCUGGAGGAAUACCGGUGGCGAAGGCGGCCCCCUGGACAAAGACUGACGCUCAGGUGCGAAAGCGUGGGGAGCAAACAGGAUUAGAUACCCUGGUAGUCCACGCCGUAAACGAUGUCGACUUGGAGGUUGUGCCCUUGAGGCGUGGCUUCCGGAGCUAACGCGUUAAGUCGACCGCCUGGGGAGUACGGCCGCAAGGUUAAAACUCAAAUGAAUUGACGGGGGCCCGCACAAGCGGUGGAGCAUGUGGUUUAAUUCGAUGCAACGCGAAGAACCUUACCUACUCUUGACAUCCAGAGAACUUUCCAGAGAUGGAUUGGUGCCUUCGGGAACUCUGAGACAGGUGCUGCAUGGCUGUCGUCAGCUCGUGUUGUGAAAUGUUGGGUUAAGUCCCGCAACGAGCGCAACCCUUAUCCUUUGUUGCCAGCGGUUAGGCCGGGAACUCAAAGGAGACUGCCAGUGAUAAACUGGAGGAAGGUGGGGAUGACGUCAAGUCAUCAUGGCCCUUACGAGUAGGGCUACACACGUGCUACAAUGGCGCAUACAAAGAGAAGCGACCUCGCGAGAGCAAGCGGACCUCAUAAAGUGCGUCGUAGUCCGGAUUGGAGUCUGCAACUCGACUCCAUGAAGUCGGAAUCGCUAGUAAUCGUGGAUCAGAAUGCCACGGUGAAUACGUUCCCGGGCCUUGUACACACCGCCCGUCACACCAUGGGAGUGGGUUGCAAAAGAAGUAGGUAGCUUAACCUUCGGGAGGGCGCUUACCACUUUGUGAUUCAUGACUGGGGGUGAAGUCGUAACAAGGUAACCGUAGGGG
rnacentral:rRNA from 1 species